rnacentral:rRNA from 1 species
AUUGAACGCUGGCGGCAGGCCUAACACAUGCAAGUCGAACGGUAACAGGAAACAGCUUGCUGUUUCGCUGACGAGUGGCGGACGGGUGAGUAAUGUCUGGGAAACUGCCUGAUGGAGGGGGAUAACUACUGGAAACGGUAGCUAAUACCGCAUAACGUCGCAAGACCAAAGAGGGGGACCUUCGGGCCUCUUGCCAUCGGAUGUGCCCAGAUGGGGAUUAGCUUGUUGGUGGGGUAACGGCUCACCAAGGCGACGAUCCCUAGCUGGUCUGAGAGGCUGACCAGCCACACUGGAACUGAGACACGGUCCAGACUCCUACGGGAGGCGGCAGUGGGGAAUAUUGCACAAUGGGCGCAAGCCUGAUGCAGCCAUGCCGCGUGUAUGAAGAAGGCCCUCGGGUUGUAAAGUACUUUCAGCGGGGAGGAAGGGAGUAAAGUUAAUACCUUUGCUCACUGACGUUACCCGCAGAAGAAGCACCGGCUAACUCCGUGCCAGCAGCCGCGGUAA